rnacentral:misc_RNA from 1 species
ACUGGAAUUGUAGCCUCUUUCUGGCCGUAGAACAACAUGGCGGCUGUGUUUGACAACGUGCAUAUAGCUAUUUACAAGGAAAGCGGUUAUUUUGAUAAUUCUGAUAAAGCACCACAUAGAAUUGAAAUUAUUAAGGAACAGAACCAGGUUACUGUGAACUUUUAUUGCGAUGGUUCAAAGAAAAUUGUUAUUCCCAUUGAUUCCAAUGCAGACUAUGCUCGUGUUGGACGACAGUCAAUUGUUUUCUCCAAAGAUCAAACCUCUUUUCAAGCAAAUUUUGCCUCAGUCCAUGUUAUGAAGUCCUUCUUGUACCGUUUGAACGAAUUCACAAAUGGUCGCAAAUCUGUUUUCUCAGAAAGAACAGAUGAUGCAUCAGCAGUGCAGUACUUUCAGUUUUAUGGUUACUUGUCUCAGCAACAGAAUAUGAUGCAAGAUUAUAUUCGAACGUCCACAUAUCAACGUGCAAUGUUGGCUAACAUCGAUGAUUUUCACGACAAGGUCAUACUUGAUGUUGGAGCUGGUUCUGGAAUUCUUUCAUUCUUCGCAAUCCAGGCUGGUGCUCGCAAAGUUUAUGCAAUAGAAGCUAGUAGUAUGGCUCAACAUUGUGAAAUGCUGGUCAAAGAUAACCGACUUGUUGACCAAAUUGUUGUUAUCACGGGCAAAGUCGAGGAUGUUACAAUACCCGAGGAAGUUGACACAAUUAUUUCAGAACCUAUGGGAUAUAUGUUGUUCAAUGAACGUAUGCUAGAAAGUUUCCUUCAUGCCAAAAAAUGGCUGAAGCCUGGAGGUCGGAUGUUUCCUACACAAGGUGAUCUCCAUGUUGCACCUUUUACUGAUGAAGCCUUAUAUAUGGAACAGUAUUCUAAAGCAAACUUCUGGUAUCAAGAGUCAUUCCAUGGCGUUAACCUCAUAAGUUUAAGAAAUGCCGCUGUUACUGAAUAUUUUAGGCAACCAAUUGUCGAUACAUUUGACAUCCGAAUAUGCCUUGCUAAAUCCAACAAACAUGUGGUUGACUUCCAGAAAGCUCGAGAACAAGAUCUUCACAUCAUUGACAUUCCUUUGACCUUCAGUAUGAUGCAGUCAGGACUUGUACAUGGUCUUGCCUUCUGGUUUGAUGUUGCCUUUUUUGGCACAAACAACUCUGUGUGGUUGUCAACUGCACCCACGGAAGCUCUUACUCAUUGGUAUCAAGUUCGCUGUCUUGUGCAAACUCCAGUUUUAGUGAAACAGGGUCAAACAUUGACGGGAAAAGUUCUUUUAAGAUGUAAUAAACGACAAAGUUAUGAUGUUGAUAUUGAACUGAAUAUACCAGGAACCAAUACAAAAUCUACCAAUUCACUCGAUUUAAAAAAUCCUUACUUUCGAUACACUGGUCAAACACCACAGCCUCCAGCAGGAAAUAGCAACCAGUCGCCAUCAGAUUCAUAUUGGAAUAGUGUAGCAACUGGUAAUUUGUCAAACAAUUGUUUAUCAGGAAAUCAGUCUUCCUAUAUCAAUGGAAUCUUAAAUGGUUUAACAGAUAAUACUCAAGUAAUUGCUCAACAAGGUGUUGUCCAAACUAAUCUGAUACCACUCUAUGCCAGUUCCGAUGAUGUGGAACCACGGUACCCAAUGCAACGUGGUGCUGAGGGCGUGGCUGGACAGUGGUGGUGUCAGUGAAUCUCAACUAUCUACAUUAAGGGGGGGUAGGUCCUCAUCAAAUUUUUGCGAGCCACAAUUGCACCCAUCAACCCGGGCAGCAUUCCCAGUGUUGUUAACCCUGUCUCAAAUGCCAAUGCCAACCGCACCUCAAUUGGAGGAGGAAUCAGCCCAGCCAGCUUUAGUUCACAG